rnacentral:rRNA from 1 species
GACGAACGCUGGCGGCGUGCCUAAUACAUGCAAGUCGAACGCUGAAGGAGGAGCUUGCUUCUCUGGAUGAGUUGCGAACGGGUGAGUAACGCGUAGGUAACCUGCCUGGUAGCGGGGGAUAACUAUUGGAAACGAUAGCUAAUACCGCAUAAUAGUAGAUGUUGCAUGACAUUUGCUUAAAAGGUGCAAUUGCAUCACUACCAGAUGGACCUGCGUUGUAUUAGCUAGUUGGUGGGGUAACGGCUCACCAAGGCGACGAUACAUAGCCGACCUGAGAGGGUGAUCGGCCACACUGGGACUGAGACACGGCCCAGACUCCUACGGGAGGCAGCAGUAGGGAAUCUUCGGCAAUGGACGGAAGUCUGACCGAGCAACGCCGCGUGAGUGAAGAAGGGUUUCGGAUCGUAAAGCUCUGUUGUAAGAGAAGAACGAGUGUGAGAGUGGAAAGUUCACACUGUGACGGUAUCUUACCAGAAAGGGGCGGCUAACUACGUG